GGAAGAAUUAUUAAGAGCAAUUUAAGAGACUUGAAUCAAGUAAAAAGGAGAUGACAUGAUGGUUUUUAUUGAAUUUUUAAGGUUGAGAUUUUGCUAGACAACUCAAAAGGGAAACGGAUAGCAUUGAAAUGAUCCCAUUAGCAACCACUGUAUUGAUGUAACAGGCUUAACAAAUUUCAUUAUUUCAUGCCGUUCUACAUGCUUUAGAUGGCCUAUCAUAGAAACUUCAAUAGAAACUUUUAAAACUUCUUAUUAUCCACAGC
rnacentral:misc_RNA from 1 species